UACGGGGGGGGCAAGCGUUGUUCGGAAUUACUGGGCGUAAAGGGCUCGUAGGCGGCCAACUAAGUCCGACGUGAAAUCCCUCGGCUUAACCGGGGAACUGCGUCUGAUACUGGAUGGCUUGAGUUCGGGAGAGGGAUGCGGAAUUCCAGGUGUAGCGGUGAAAUGCGUAGAUAUCUGGAGGAACACCGGUGGCGAAGGCGGCAGCCUGGACCGACACUGACGCUGAGGAGCGAAAGCCAGGGGAGCAAACGGG
rnacentral:rRNA from 1 species